rnacentral:tRNA from 1 species
GGCCGUGCUGCGCGACGGCCGGCGCGAGUCCGCGCUGCGGCUGCGCGCGAAGGACUCCGCGUCCGAGGUGCUCACCGGCUCGGCGCUGGUGCCCGGCCU